rnacentral:rRNA from 1 species
UACAGAGGGUGCGAGCGUUGUUCGGAAUUAUUGGGCGUAAAGCGCGCGCAGGCGGGAUUGCAAGUCGGAUGUGAAAGCCCUCGGCUCAACCGAGGAAGUGCGUUCGAAACUGCAGUUCUUGAGUGUCGGAGAGGGUGGCGGAAUUCCUGGUGUAGAGGUGAAAUUCGUAGAUAUCAGGAGGAACACCGGAGGCGAAGGCGGCCACCUGGACGAACACUGACGCUGAGGCGCGAAAGCGUGGGGAGCAAACAGG